rnacentral:piRNA from 1 species
UGAAAUUGUGAGUUACCACUGGGAAG